UACAGGGGGUGCAAACGUUGCUCGGAAUUAUUGGGCGUAAAGCGCGCGUAGGCGGCCGCUUAAGUCGGAUGUGAAAGCCCCUGGCUCAACUGGGGAAGUGCACCCGAAACUGAGUGGCUUGAGUACUAAAGAGGGUCGCGGAAUUCCCGGUGUAGAGGUGAAAUUCGUAGAUAUCGGGAGGAACACCGGUGGCGAAGGCGGCGACCGGGUAGAUACGUGACGCUGAGACGCGAAAGCCAGGGGA
rnacentral:rRNA from 1 species